AACGAACGCUGGCGGCAUGCCUAACACAUGCAAGUCGAACGAGACCUUCGGGUCUAGUGGCGCACGGGUGCGUAACGCGUGGGAACCUGCCCUUAGGUUCGGAAUAACUCCCCGAAAGGGGUGCUAAUACCGGAUAAUGUCUUCGGACCAAAGAUUUAUCGCCUUUGGAUGGGCCCGCGUUGGAUUAGCUAGUUGGUAGGGUAAAAGCCUACCAAGGCGACGAUCCAUAGCUGGUCUGAGAGGAGGAUCAGCCACACUGGGACUGAGACACGGCCCAGACUCCGACGGGAGGCAGCAGUGGGGAAUAUUAGACAAGGGGCGAAAGCCUGAUCCAGCAAUGCCGCGUGAGUGAUGAAGGCCUUAGGGUUGUAAAGCUCUUUUACCCGGGAUGAUAAUGACAGUACCGGGAGAAUAAGCUCCGGCUAACUCCGUG
rnacentral:rRNA from 1 species